CGGGGAGUAGCGCAGUCUGGUAGCGCGCGAGUUUUGGGAACUCGAUGUCGCAGGUUCGAAUCCUGUCUCCCCGACCA
rnacentral:tRNA from 1 species